UACGUAGGGUGCAGGCGUUACUCGGAAUUACUGGGCGUAAAGCGUGCGCAGGCGGUUUGCUAAGACAGGUGUGAAAUCCCCGGGCUUAACCUGGGAACUGCGCUUGUAACUGGCAAGCUAGAGUGUGGCAGAGGGGGGUGGAAUUCCAGGUGUAGCAGUGAAAUGCGUAGAGAUCUGGGGGAACACCGAUGGCGAAGGCAGCCCCCUGGGCUAACACUGACGCUCAUGCACGAAAGCGUGGGGAGCAAACAGG
rnacentral:rRNA from 1 species